GAUGAACGCUGGCGGCGUGCUUAACACAUGCAAGUCGAACGGAAAGGCCCAAGCUUGCUUGGGUACUCGAGUGGCGAACGGGUGAGGAACACGUGGGUGAUCUGCCCUGCACUUCGGGAUAAGCCUGGGAAAGUGGGGCUAAUAUCGGAUAGGACCACAUGUUGGAUGGUGUGGUGGAAAGUUUUUCGGUGUGGGAUGAGCUCGCGGCCUAUCAGCUUGUUGGUGGGGUAAUGGCCUACCAAGGCGUCGACGGGUAGCCGGCCGGAGAGGGUGUACGGCCUCAUUGGGCCUGAGAUACGGCCCAGACUCCUACGCGCGGCCCCAGCGGGACACACUGCCGAACGAGAGCACGCCAGAUGUCACGCAGCCCCGUGGGGGAAGCCGGCCUCCCCGCUAUACACUCCUCUCCCUACGGACGAAGCGCAAGUGACGUUACCCAAACAACAAGCACCGGCUAACUACGUG
rnacentral:rRNA from 1 species